GUGCCAGCAGCCGCGUAAUACGUAGGGGGCAAGCGUUGUCCGGAAUUAUUGGGCGUAAAGCGCGCGCAGGCGGUUCCUUAAGUCUGAUGUGAAAGGCCACAGCUCAACUGUGGAGGGCCAUUGGAAACUGGGGAACUUGAGGACAGAAGAGGAGAGCGGAAUUCCACGUGUAGCGGUGAAAUGCGUAGAUAUGUGGAGGAACACCAGUGGCGAAGGCGGCUCUCUGGUCUGUAACUGACGCUGAGGCGCGAAAGCAUGGGUAGCGAACAGGAUUAGAAACC
rnacentral:rRNA from 1 species